rnacentral:lncRNA from 1 species
GGGUAUCGCCUGUCUGACAAGGGGUUGGCCAUGGAUCCCGGCAAGGUCCAGGCGGUACUGGAAUGGAAAACACCCAAAACAAGGAAGGAUGUGCAGAGGUUUUUAGGAUUUGGGAACUUCUAUCGUAAGUUCAUCCCAAACUUUGCCCACCUGACGGCGCCCAUUACGGACUGUCUCAGCAGUAAGAAGAAGUUCGUUUGGACGGAGGAGGCGGAGCAAGCAUUUGAGGAACUAAAAGGGCCUUCGCCUCGGAACAACAGCUCCUGCAUGUGGAUUUACAAAAACCGAUGAGAGUGGAAACUGACGCAUCAGACAGAGCGGUUGGGGCGGUGCUUCUCCAGCCAGGGAAGGAGGAGUCAGAGUGGAGACCGUGUGCUUUUUUUCGCGAAAGCUGAACAAAUCCGAGAGGAACUACACGGUGUAUGACCGAGAACUACUAGCCAUUCAUGAGGCGUUCCGGAGAUGGAGGCACCUGCUAAUUGGCGCACAACAUAAGGUGCAAGUGUGCACUGACCACAAGAACCUAGAGUAUUGGAGGACGGCACGAGUGCUCAACCAACGGCAAGUGAGGUGGGCCCAGGAAUUCUCCAAAUUUAACUUUGAGAUUUGUUACGUGCCAGGCCCAGAGAACAUUAGGGCGGACGCUCUCUCACGCAAACCUGAAUAUUUGGAGGGGGAGGGGCACCCGAAGAGAGACAUGUCAUUCCAGAGGACCGCUGGGUGUGUGGGGCGGCAUUGGUGGGACAAAGAGAACUGGUAGAAGAAACAGAGAAUGAUGAAUACGCCCAGAAUAAGCUCAGAGGUCUUAGGGAUGAGGGAGAGGAAUCAAGGGGUUUCGAGGAAAGAAAUGGAGCUUUGUAUUACAAAGGGGCACUGUAUAUCCCUGAAGGAGACUUAAGGGGAGGGUACUCAAGCAGUUGCAUGACAGCCCCACGGCGGGCAUUUUGGGCAACACAAAACCAUGUGGUUGGUCACCAGGGAAUUUUGGUGGCCUAAGGUGAGGGAGGAUGUACGUGAGUAUGUAAGAGGGUGCGAGCAGUGCCAGCGAGCCAAAGGGGAAAGGCGGGCGCCGGCGGGCUAUUAGAACCCUUACCAACACCAGAACGACCUUGGGAGGCAGUGUCGAUAGAUUUUAUGACUGAUCUGCCGAAGUCCAAAGGGAAAACAGCCAUCAUGGUGGUGGUAGACCUACUAACAAAGAUGUGCCACUUUGUAGCUUGCUCGCAUGCAGUCACGGCGGAAGAGACAGCGAAGUUAUUUGUAGAACACAUUUUUAGGUUGCACGGGGUGCCAUUGAGGGUGGUCUCAGACCGAGGAAAACAAUUUACUUCCAGGUUCUGGAGGAAGCUCAUGAGCUUACUGCAGGUGGAGGUCAACUUUUCGACUGCCCGGCACCCUGAAACCAACGGGCAGGCGGAAAGAGCAAACGGUGUCCUCCAGCAAUACCUGAGGUGUUAUGUCAAUGACAGAGAGAAUGACUGGGUAGAAAAGUUGGCGCUGGCGGAAUUUGCCUACAACAAUGCCGAGAAUGUGUCCACAGGGAUGAGCCCCUUCUUGGCUAAUUAUGGGUGUCAUCCCAGGGCUUUCCCAGGGGAGAAGGGGAGAGAUGGAGCGUACCGGCAGCCGAGCAUUUUGUAGAAGAAAUGGAAGCAAUCCACCGUCAGCUCCAACUCAACUUAGAAAGGGCGAAGGAAGAAUACAAGAGGCAGGCAGACAAGAACCGAAGGGAAGGUGAAACCAUAAGGGUUGGAGAUAGGGUGUGGCUGUCAACCCGAGGGGUGCCGUUCAAAGGAGGUUGUAAGAAAUUAAGACCCAGGAGGUUGGGUCCCUUUGAGGUCAUUCAACAGGUCAACCCAGUGGCUUUCAGGCUCCGGUUACCCAACCACAUGAAACUGCACCCAGUAUUUCACAGGUCGUUACUGUCACCGUACGAGGGGGGACGAGAAGGGAUGGCCACUCGGGGACCGGUCAUAGAAGAAAGAGAAUGCAGCAGUCAUGUGGCAGAAAUCCUUGAUGCCAGGUGGAAGGGGAAUCAGGUGGAGUAUUUGGUAGCGUGGGAAGGAGAACCGGAGUCAGAAAACACGUGGGUAAUGGCCGAAGAUAUCAAUGACGAGGUAUUGAUAGAAACGUUCCAUCAAAGGUUCCCGAGGAAACCUCAGCCUGUGGAGAGGUUCCGGAGGGAAUACUUUGGGACCACUGAGGAGGAGGAGGAGUUGGAAGGAUUCCCAGAAUCGGAAGGGGAAGGGGAGAUGGACUCGGAGGAGGAGGAGUGCUUCGAGACCAGGAACCGCAACAGGUGGAGAGAAGUGUUCGAGACAUCGGAAGAUGAAGGAAGUUCAUUCCGGGUUUUGCCUCCUCACCGCCCGUAGAGGAGGGGGCGAGAGGGGGUGAAGGGGGCCCUGGAGGGGAGGUGGAUGUCAGGGAACUGCCAUCGGAAGGAAGGGAGGUGAAAGGACUCAGACAGGUUGGAAGAGACUCAGCAGCGGAAGAGGGAACCAGCAAGGGGAGAGAAGCUGAACUGAGGGAGGUGAAAGGGCUCAGACAGGUUGGAAGAGACUCAGCAGCUGAAGAGGAAACCAGCAGGGGGAGAGAAGCUGAACUGAGGGAAAGGGAGCUGGGGGGGAUGGCUCAGAGAUACUUCCAGCGAAAACAGUGGUGAGGUUUCCGGACCUCCUGUUGGGACACCCACUCCUCGCCGGAAACUGUCACGCAGAGAGUCCAGAAGACGUGUUUCCGUUAAGGAACUUUUAUGUUGGAAGCGAUUACGAAAGCAGCCACUGUCGGAAUCUUCUAGUGACUAGAGGAGCCAUGUCAGAGGGGCUCAGUCACAGACAGAGGUUUGUGGACUUGAACAAACUCUGAGGGAAUACGAUUUUACGCACAAGCAGCUCAUCUUCCCAUCACAG